GCGCCCCGCGCGCUCUUCGCCCCCUUCUCUGCGUAUAGGCCUCGAUCCCCAGCACAAUCGCCAUCUCCAUGCCUAUCUUGGUGACCCUGCUGCACCGCCCGUGGAGACCGACCGGGCUGCCAAGCCUGUGGUGACCACACCGUCCCCUGCGGAUCUGACGCCCACCCGCAGCAAGCAAGGAAAUGGCGGUGCCGGCGUCGCCCGUCGCCGACGGUGAGGCUGCGGAGGCAAAAGUUGGAGUCGCUCCUGCAGACGCUCGACGGGCUGGGCGACGCCGAUCUCGUCUCAAUUCCCGACGUAGCCAUCGACUCCGAGGUGCAUACAAGGACAACGAGGGCGGUGACGACGACGGCGAUACGACAGCUUCAACGGCAAGUGAUUUGGACCGUGCGGCAAACCAGGUACGGAUACAGCGAGGUUUGGGCCUUUGAGAGUCUGAAAUUCAGACCAUGAGGUACUAAUUAAUUGCAUUAAUUGGCAUGUAAGUGCUGACGAAAGGUGGUGAUUCAACCAAGCUCUCGUUAUUUCAUGUUUGUAUCGACUAGACAAAUAGAUCUGAGUUGGAUACCUUGUUUGAGUUGUUUCCCGGUACUGCCAUAUUACUGUUGUUCUCAUAUUUGUUUGUGGUUCGUCUCUGUGGUGAGUGGGACUAGUAAGGAACCUGUGAACAUCUAGAGUCAGAUAGUCUACCAUGGAAAUAUGGGAAAAUUCGAAUCUGAACCCGAGCUCAUCUGCACCUGCGCUCACGAAAAAAAUCAAAAUAAAUACUAAAGAAAUUCAAAAAAUUCCAAAAAAAAUUGGGGUGGUGGACAAUUUGAUGCGCGAGGUACGCUCCAAUUUUCAAAACAUUUGGACUUCUGUGCAGCUCUCAGCAAAAAAGACAAAUCGGAGGUCUGUAAAAAUGUGUACUGUUCAUAUACUGUUCUGGUCUGAUUUGUCUUUUUUGCUGAGAGCUGCACAGAAGUCCAAAUGUUUUGAAAAUUGGAGCGUACCUCACGCAUCAAAUUGUCUACCACCCAAAUUUUUUUUGGAAUUUUUUGAAUUUUUCUGAAUUUUUUUCUGAAUUUUCUUUUGACCGGGUGCAGAUGCACCCGGGCACCGAAACGCCGCUCUCGGAAAUAUGCCCUUUUAUUAGAAGCAGGAUCAGCUGCAGUGAAGUUCUCCAAAAUAAAAAUGCCAGCCUCUGAUAUGGGGAAACAGUGGAAUGUGAUGAUUUAGGCUAAACAUCUAAUUAGCAUUUAUAUACCAGGAAUAUAACUGCUGCUAACAGAGGAUGCAGAUUGAGGAUCAGUAUAACAUGUGUAAUUAUUUUUUCUAUUUUACAUGCACCUUUUUCAUUUAGAAUGUCUGCAGAACAUCUCUUGUCACUUGGUUUUAGAUUUGCUGAGUGAUAGGAGGAAGAGCAUGGAGCAGUUCAUUUUUGCUGUGAAGCUGUACCAAUGAUCUUCUUAAAUCUAGGUUUGAAUCACCUGAGUUUCUUUAAGGUUUUGACAUGAUUGCGAAGUAUGUAUGCCAAGAUGGUGCAUGUAUACCUCUAUAAAAUGCGCUUGCUACUGCCGGCAGUGCUUAAUUUAUUCAAAUGUGGCCAGCUAAAAUAACCCAUGCAAUGGAUAUGGACGAUCAAUUGUCUUAGUUCAAGAUGAACAACCAUUAUGGUUUCAUUGCAUAUGCAGUCAUCCUGCUAGCUUUCCAACAAUUGUGCUUUUAUAUCUGUGGCAUUACAUAAACCUGUGAAUUUGGGAGUUCAUCAUGAUUAGGGUUGUUUAUACAUUAUACUUGGCGGCCCGUAAAUUUGUAAUUUUAGGAGUUCAUCAUGAUCAUGAUCAGGGUUGCUUAUAUUUUUGCAAAAUACGAAAGUAAUCGCAACAAAAACAACCAGAAUGGAUUCAAUUAACACUAAUUUGAGGUAGCACGUAAAUUCGGUUAACACUAAAGAUUCAGUUCAAACCAACAUUCAGUUAACAGAAAAGAUUCAGUUAACACUAAAUAGUCAGUUGACAAAUUGAGUUGAGUUAGCACAUAAAUUCAGUUAACAUAAACAUCAGAUAACACCUUAAUUCAGUUAAGCCAUGGUGAUCAAUGACAUCUUGUGCAGUGUCUAUGUACAUAAAGAAACAUACCACUAGCUUUAUCUACUAGCAAUGGUGGGAGACAUGAUGAUGAAAUGAAUAGCGUGGUUUCAGAGUUUGUUGUGACUUUAUGAGAUGCUCGUUGUUUAUUUUCUGCACCAACUUAUUUUGGUGGCAAACCAACCCUGCCGUGGUCUAGCAACUAAUUACAUGUUCUGAUUGCAGUUUCUUAAAGGAGAUAAUGCAAGUGGUAAAACAAAUGGCAUCAAGUUCAAUCACGGAAAAGAAAUCAAAUGGCCAUAGUUUUUUCUUGACAGGUGAAGCGUCUUUGAAUAAAUUUAAAAACUGCAGAGACAUACCCUGGCUGUCGGCAGCUCUUGUGUGUUAUGGGGGGCCUGGAGGGGAACAAUGGGACUUGUCCGAACAAUGCCGCCUCAGCGCCGGUUGGAGGAGAUAUCUGGCGUGACAAUGGCGACGAUGGGUUGGCCGGCCAGCCGAUCGUGGCUCAUGCAGAUGUAGGCAACCGCAUCGGCGGACACGGGCGAAUGGCAAAGGCACAUGACGCAGCCGCUACCUUCCCUCCUUGGUGUCGGGAUGGUCGCCAGCUGCAUGCUUGGCCCAGAGGCGGAGCUCCUCCGCCCGAUUCCGCGUCGAGCCUGUGCUGCCGCUGGUUUGUGCUGUCGUGCUGGCUAGUGCUGGAUGAGAUAUUUUUUUAGCACUUAGUGUUGGAUUGUUUUUUUUUCGAGGGCUGCACAUUGUGCUGGAUGAGAUGGAUCAGCCAAACUGUGGGUGCUAUUAGAUGAUAAAAAUAAUAACCUUGACUGUCAGGUGCGGGUGCAGGUGUUACAAGGAAAAUCAUGGGAUAUCGUUCCAGAGGGAUUUUCAGAGAAAUCCGUGAAUUUGCCCGCCUCAAUUUAGGAGCUUUUCUUUCUCCUUUGCCCCACGGGCUUGUAAUAAGCUAGCUCAUGCAUUGGCUGUAUUUUGGUGCUCGCUGUAUUGUCUGGUCUGAGGACCUUCCUGACGAUGUGAAAAGUUGUCUCCAUGACGUUUUUGCAGAAAACCCCUUCCCAAACUUCCGACACAACCUGCGCUCCUCGUUGUCUUCAAUCGACGCUUUGACACAGACGCAUGGACGCCGGAGCUUCCCUGCUCGGAUUCGUCGCGCUGCUUCCCUGCUCUCCCGCGUCGUAGCUCCCUUAGCUUCGCCGCGCUGCUCUCCCGCGCGUCCUCCUCCGUUGCUCCCUCUUGCCUUGCGCAGCUCCCCUGCCUCCCAAAUCUUCCCUCUUUCACACCCAAAAUCGUUUCUUCUUCCUCCUGCUUGCGUGCGGCGACGACACGUCCUCCUCGUUGCCCCCGACGCCGGAGGAGGCACGGGGCAAGCAGCAGCGGAGGAGAAAGGGGAUUCCGUUCGCCGCCAAGGCGCCCUGGGCAUGCUCCUCGAGUCCCUGCUCCUCGGGCCCCUCAUCACCUCCCUCCUCAAGAAGCAGAACAACAUGACGCAGGUCCUCUCCUCCCUUGUCAGCCUUCAUUUUGUUUGAGAUUAUUUUGUCCAGCAACUCCGUGGUUUGCUUCCGUUGCACUUAGCACGAUUCUGGUCUUAUUAAUGUUGGGGGCGAGCACAUGCUGCAGCGCACGGUGCUCCAGUUCUUUCAUUCAGUCAAGUUCUUUCAUUCAGUCAUGUUCUUUCAUUCAGUCAAAUUCAGUCAAAUUUUCUGAAGCUAGCAUCCUUUUUUACUACGUACAUCCUUUUUUUGUUUUCAGCAACUAUAGGUGCUACUACAUCUCUCUUUUUUUUGCAGGGACCAGGGCCAGGAAUUAAAAAACAAACAAAAGCAGGGGCCAGGAGUACAUCUCAACUUUUACUGUAUUUCUUGCUGACAACUAGUGCAAGUACACAUUCUGAAUAUUGAAAUUAUCUUCUGUUAGUUACUAGGAUAGUGGUUCAUCCUGCUUGUCUGAUCUGUGGAGGAGACCAAGGGCAUCAACCUCCCCAACUUGAAUUUGUGUUGUUGUUACUUGACAUGUUUGUGUUCCUCAUUUGGAGUCAGGUAAGACCUGUGAUACUUUGGAGAGGGACUUGGUAGUAUUAUAUGGGCAGUUUGGCCACAUAGUUUGGCAACCUAGUUUGAGGAGAACAAGUUUGCAUGCUGAUAAUCUUACCUACUUUGUGACAGAUCAACAUAUAAUUUCUUCUAGAAUUUGGAUGAUGUGUGCUAAACUGCUAAUAGUAUACUAACCAUACCUGGUUCAGCUAUAGAGAACAAGUUUUCAUGCUGCUGAUCUUACCUACUUCGUGACAGAUCAACAUAUAAUUUCUUCUGGACUUGGAAUGAUGUGUGCUAAACUGCUAAUAGUAUAAUAAUAAAACAUAUAGUGCAGUCAUUGAUUUAUCAUUUAUGUAACCUAAUGUGUGAUUCUUUUUGUCAUUUUGUUAAUCAGGCUGUGGCAUGGGACACCUAUCCUUGUGGUCAUCAGCAUCCUGGCAUACUUCUGCUUCUUGGAGCAAUUGCUGGUUGCGCAUAACGGCUUCGCCGCCCUGGCGAUUUCGCUGCCCUUCUCAUGCAUCCUAGGCCUCUUCUCAUCACUGACCACAACAAGCAUGGGGGCGAGGAUAUGUGGAUCUUCGCGGCGAUCCAGUUCCUCUUCGUCGUGUUCUUCACAACUCUGUUCUACAGAUAUCUGCAUCUGCAGGCUGUGAUUUCCAUCAUCCUGGCAACCUUACCAUGACACUACUAUUAUUGGACCAUUACACUCAUCUCUACCUGGAGAACAAAUUCCUUAGUGCAAGUUACUGAUUGAAUUUACACUCAUCUGCAGAGCGUGUAGAAAAAUUGAUUGUAUUUUGAUGACUGAAUUUAAAAUCACUACUUGGAGUACACACUGACUGAAUUUAACACUGCAAUUGAUUAUCCUGUGAUCCAUGGACAUUGCAAUUGUGCAUUAUCCUGGAUACAGAACAUGGAUCUCUGAAUAAUUCAAAUACUCUGAAUAAUUCAACAAUUGACAGGCAUAAUAUUUUUUCCUUCUCCCAUUUUAGACCAUAACAACAACAAUCUGGUCCACUUGCUCUUGAUGAUGCAUUUAGUUAACUUGUAAUUUUGCCAAAAUCUGGACCAGUUGCUCUUGAU
rnacentral:rRNA from 1 species